rnacentral:lncRNA from 1 species
CCGAGAUCCGGGAAUGGCACCAGCCGCCCGCCCUCCGCUGUGCCCUGUUUCCAGCCACCGCUCAGAAAUUUAGGUCAAGGACGUCGGGAGCAAACCCACACCCUGGCGCUCCUUUGGCGGCCCCCGAGACGCCCCAGGAUCGGGGGGCUUCAGGAUGGCGGAGACCCUCCUGCACAAACACCAGCCACAAGUUUUAUUUUCCUUUUGCGCUGGAAGUUCUCUCUGGCUCUGGCUCCACACCGGCACGUCUUGCGCGGUUCCCCGCCCUUCCCCAGUAGAGGAUUAGGAGACAAAGGAAUACACUCA